GAACUUUCCAGAGAUGGACUGGUGCCUUCGGGAACCGUGAGACAGGUGCUGCAUGGCUGUCGUCAGCUCGUGUUGUGAAAUGUUGGGUUAAGUCCCGCAACGAGCGCAACCCUUAUCCUUUGUUGCCAGCGAUUAGGUCGGGAACUCAAAGGAGACUGCCAGUGAUAAACUGGAGGAAGGUGGGGAUGACGUCAAGUCAUCAUGGCCCUUACGACCAGGGCUACACACGUGCUACAAUGGCGCAUACAAAGAGAAGCGACCUCGCGAGAGCAAGCGGACCUCAUAAAGUGCGUCGUAGUCCGGAUUGGAGUCUGCAACUCGACUCCAUGAAGUCGGAAUCGCUAGUAAUCGUGGAUCAGAAUGCCACGGUGAAUACGUUCCCGGGCCUUGUACACACCGCCCGUCACACCAUGGGAGUGGGUUGCAAAAGAAGUAGGUAGCUUAACCUUCGGGAGAGCGCUUACCACUUUGUGAUUCAUGACUGGGGUGAAGUCGUAACAAGGUAACCGUAGGGGAACCUGCGGUUGGAUCACCUCCUUACCUUAAAGAAGC
rnacentral:rRNA from 1 species